GGGGCGUCCGUGGGCCGCUGCGCCGCCUCACCCUACCUGCGGCCGCUCACGCUGCAUUACCGCCAGCGCUCCUUUACCCUCAUCGUGGAGGCCUGGGACUGGGACAACGAUACCACCCCGAAUGAGGAGCUGCUGAUCGAGCGAGUGUCGCAUGCCGGCAUGAUCAACCCGGAGGACCGCUGGAAGAGCCUGCACUUCAGCGGCCACGUGGCGCACCUGGAGCUGCAGAUCCGCGUGCGCUGCGACGAGAACUACUACAGCGCCACUUGCAACAAGUUCUGCCGGCCCCGCAACGACUUUUUCGGCCACUACACCUGCGACCAGUACGGCAACAAGGCCUGCAUGGACGGCUGGAUGGGCAAGGAGUGCAAGGAAGCUGUGUGUAAACAAGGGUGUAAUUUGCUCCACGGGGGAUGCACCGUGCCUGGGGAGUGCAGGUGCAGCUACGGCUGGCAAGGGAGGUUCUGCGAUGAGUGUGUCCCCUACCCCGGCUGCGUGCAUGGCAGUUGUGUGGAGCCCUGGCAGUGCAACUGUG
ensembl:lncRNA novel transcript